AAUUAUUAAUCUUUAUAAUUUUACUAUCAAAUCCACCUUCAAUAAACAUUUCAAAUUUAUAUUCAUUUAAAUAUUUUUAUUGUAACCCAUUUCUACUUAAAUAUUAGCUACACCUUGAUCUGAUAUAUUUUCUUUUUAAAAAUUAUGAAAAUUAACAUUCUUAUAAAAUAUUCUAAUAACGACGGUAUAUAAACUGAUUACAAACUUAAGUAAGGUCCAUCGUGGAUUAUCGAUUACAGAACAGGUUCCUCUGAAUAGACUAAAAUACCGCCAAAUUUUUUAAGUUUCAAGAACAUAACUACUACUACCUUAGUUUUUAAAUUUACAUUUUAAAUAAUAGGGUAUCUAAUCCUAGUUUAUUAUUAAAAUUUUCAAGCUUC
rnacentral:rRNA from 1 species